GUUUGUUACAGGCAGUCAUUGCUUUUGACGGUGACACGUUCAUUGGUAAGGGGAAAACCAGGGUUUCAGUGUAUACCACAAUAUUUGAACAUCGAAAAUGACGUAAUCAAUUCAACUUUCGAACUGCAUUUUUUUCAAACAUUUAAGUAAUGACAGAACUUUCUAUUCAUAAGUUUGUUUACAAAAAAAUGCAUAAUUAAAAAUGAAAAUUGAAAAGAAUAAUCUA
rnacentral:lncRNA from 1 species